CGAGGGGCAGCGGGGUUGUAGCAAUACAACUGCCGGCGACCGGCGCACGGGUGAGUAACACGUAUGUAACCUGCCCUCUGCAGGGGGAUAAGCGGAAGAAAUUCCGUCUAAUACCGCAUAAUACAAUUUGGAGACAUCUCCGGGUUGUCAAAGGAGUGAUCCGGCAGAGGAUGGACAUGCGGCGCAUUAGCUAGUCGGCGGGGUAACGGCCCACCGAGGCUACGAUGCGUAGGGGUUCUGAGAGGAAGGUCCCCCACACUGGUACUGAGACACGGACCAGACUCCUACGGGAGGCAGCAGUGAGGAAUAUUGGUCAAUGGGCGGAAGCCUGAACCAGCCAAGUCGCGUGAGGGAAGACGGUCCUAUGGAUUGUAAACCUCUUUUGCAGGGGAGCAAGGCGCGGUACGUGUACCGCGAAGGAGAGUACCCUGAGAAAAAGCAUCGGCUAACUCCGUGCCAGCAGCCGCGGUAAUACGGAGGAUGCGAGCGUUAUCCGGAUUUAUUGGGUUUAAAGGGUGCGCAGGCGGACCGCCCCCCCCGCGGUAAAAUGUCGGUGCUCAACACCGGCCGGCCGCCCCCCUGGCAGCCUUGAGUGAGCGAGAAGCCUGCCGAACGCGUGGUGUAGCGGUGAAAUGCAUAGAUCUCCCGCGGAACUCCGAUUGCGAAGGCAGCAUACCGGCGCUCAACUGACGCUCAGGCACGAAAGCGUGGGUAUCAAACAGGCUUAGAUACCCUGGUAGUCCACGCAGUAAACGAUGAAUGCUCACUGUCCGGGCCGUUUAAGGCCUGGGUGGUCAAGCGAAAGCGUUAAGCAUUCCACCUGGGGAGUACGCCGGCAACGGUGAAACUCAAAGGAAUUGACGGGGGCCCGCACAAGCGGAGGAACAUGUGGUUUAAUUCGAUGAUACGCGAGGAGCCUUACCCGGGCUCAAACGGAAGGGGACAGUAUGAGAAAUCAUACAUUCCUUCGGGACCGCUUCCGAGGUGCUGCAUGGUUGUCGUCAGCUCGUGCCGUGAGGUGUCGGCUUAAGUGCCAUAACGAGCGCAACCCCUAUCGACAGUUGCUAGCAGGUAAAGCUGAGGACUCUGUCGAGACUGCCGGCGCAAGCUGUGAGGAAGGCGGGGAUGACGUCAAAUCAGCACGGCCCUUACGUCCGGGGCGACACACGUGUUACAAUGGCAGGUACAGCGGGAAGCCACCCGGCGACGGGGCGCAGAACCCGAAAACCUGUCUCAGUUCGGAUUGGAGUCUGCAACCCGACUCCAUGAAGCUGGAUUCGCUAGUAAUC
rnacentral:rRNA from 1 species